AGGAGGCUGGGACGAGCAGGGAGGAGGCCUUGCCUAGAGCCCGGGAGACAGCCAGAGUUGCCGUGGGCUCAGAAUGGCAAGAAGGUGCUCCUGCGGAAUCCCAGAUACCUGGUUCCAGGAAUCAAACCCAGAGGAGCAAGAGGCAAGCAGAUGAUUGCAGUGACCAGGAAGAAGGUCACAUGCACAGCAACACGAAAGAGAAAUGCAGUUAUUCCAUUUUUCAAAAUUGGAUCCUGCUUACAUCAUCCAAGACUUCCUAUUUGACUUAGGGUUUCGAUCCAAAAGUCACUGUCUUCAGGACAUCCCUCAGAACACCUUGUGCCCUUGUGACUAUUGAAUUAAUUAUUUUAAGGAUAUAUUAAGUACCUCUGUUUCCCGUUGAAACAUCAGCUGGAGGAGGACAAGAAUGAUGUCUGUUCUGUCCUCCGGGCACAUCAUCAGAUCAUCAUAAUCUCUAAUCCGGAUUAGAAAGAUGAGUUUCUAGAAUGCGAAUCUGCUUAAAACCUUUCCUCUUCGAACUCAGGGGAAAGUCAAACUCCUUCAGGUAGCUUCCAAGGCCCUGCCUGCUCCGGCCUCGUCUCCUCCCACCUGCCUCCCCCUUCCCUUCCACAUUCAUCUAGACCCAGCCGUCUUUCUGUGUACUAAAGCAGGGGAACUUUGCCUGUGAGGCUUCAGAUACGCUAGGUAGAUUUGUAUUCAUCCUUCAGCUCUGAGCUGAGAGCUGCAUGAAUUGGUUGACUGACUUUUCAUUCAUCCUCUUCUAUGUGCCAGGAAGUGUACUAAGUCCCGAGGAAACAGGUGAACAAGACAGAUGGGGGCCCCGGCCCCACUGUUCCCUUCCUUGACCACCCUCACCCUGAGGCUGGGGUACGUACGGGCUCCACGCCUCUCUGAAGAAUCCAUGGCAUUGCCUGAUCACACUGCUGUAAUGACUAUUUCCCUGUCUCGCCUGCUAGCUCAUGAACUAUUUGUUGAAUGAAUUUAGGAACCAUCAAAAUCCUUUGCUCAUGACAAAUAAAAGAAAAAGAAAUAGAAUGGAUGAACUGGAUCACAGACACUGUGGGCAGGGGGAGCAGGGUCAGAGACAAAGGCAGCAAGAGAGGCCUCUGCUCCUCCUCCUUCCCCAGGAAGUUACAGAAUGUGUGGUCUGAGAAAUGCGUGUGGAACCGGGCACAGAUUCUGUUUAU